rnacentral:rRNA from 1 species
GACGAACGCUGGCGGCGUGCUUAACACAUGCAAGUCGAACGGAAAGGCCUGCUUUCCCUUGUGGAUUGCGGGUACUCGAGUGGCGAACGGGUGAGUAACACGUGAGUGAUCUGCCCCCAACUUGGGUAUAAGCCUGGGAAACUGGGUCUAAUUCCCGAUAGGACUGCAGGGUGGUGCCUGUGGUGGAAAACGAUUUUCUAGUGGUUGGGGAUGAGCUCGCGGCCUAUCAGCUUGUUGGUGGGGUAAUGGCCUACCAAGGCGGCGACGGGUAGCCGGCCUGAGAGGGUGGACGGCCACAUUGGGACUGAGAUACCGCCCAGGCGCCUACGGGAGGCAGCCGGGGGGAAUAUUGCACAAUGGGCGGAAGCCUGAUGCAGCGACGCCGCGUGGGGGAUGACGGCCUUCGGGUGGUAAACUCCUUUCGACCGCGAGGAAGCCACCUGGUUGGAAGGGUGGUGACGGUAGUGGUAGAAGAAGCACCGGCUAACUACGUG